GAUCAAUGCAGGGCAUGAAGAAGAUGAACUCAAACCAUUUGUUGAACCAGAGCUAGACAUCUCAGACCAAAAAAGAAUAGAUAUUAUGGUGGGAAUGGGAUAUUCACAAGAAGAAAUUCAAGAAUCUCUUAGUAAGAUGAAAUACGAUGAAAUCACAGCUACAUAUUUGUUAUUGGGGAGAAAAUCUUCAGAGGUAAGAGUAAUCAGAAAGAGCUGAAAUACCCUGUAUGUAAUUAUUAGUUUAUAUAAACUGUUUUCUUAGUUUUUAUCUUUUGAAUAUUUGUAACAUUUGAUACAUCAUUUUUUAGAUUUACUUGCAAAUAGCAAAUCUAAAUCCUAUGACUAUUAUAAGCUAUUUUAACUUAACCCUUAAUGAUGGAUAUUGGCCAGGCGUGGUGGCUCAUGCCUGUAAUCCCAGCACUUUGGGAGGCCAAGGCGGACAGAUCACUUGAGACCAGGAGUUCGAGACCAGACUGGCCAACAUAGGGAAACUCUGUCUCUGCUAAAACAAACAAACAAACAAAAAAUUAGCUGGGCGUGUUGGCGCUUGCCUGUAAUCCCUGCUCCUUGGGAGGCUGAGGCAAGAGAACUGCUUGACCCUGAGAGGCAGAGGUUGCGGUGAGCCAGGAUCACGCCACUGCACUCCAGCCUGGGUGACAGAGCGAGACUCUGUCUCAAAAAAAAAAA
rnacentral:lncRNA from 10 species